UAGAAAUCAUAAAGGGAAUACUGUUGGAUUAUAACACAUUAAAUUAAAAUCUAACAUGCAGCCUGGUACUCAGUGUUAAUUAAGGAUGUGAAGAAACAAUCUCUUUCAUUCACUGCUUGAGGGAAUGAUAAUCUCACACACUUUCUGGAACGCACUUAUGUUUCAAAAGCUUUACAUUUCAUAUAUACUUUAGAAAUUCGUCUAUAUGUGACAAUGACAGUAGUAUGCAAAAAUGUAUUAACCGCAUCACUGUUUAUGACCAAAAAAGUGAAAGUGAUGUAAAUAUCCAAUUUAGGAGUAGGUGAAAAAGCAGUUAUAAAAUAUUAAUGUGAUGCAAUUCUAUUUUGUUUAAAGAUACUGGUCUCUGUGUGUUUAACUUAUGGGAGGACUAGAAGGAAAAUGUUUUGUUGAACUACAACUUGAGUCCAUAUACCUAGUAGAUCUGUCUGCUAGUUUCCGUUACAUUCUAUAUUCGUUUAUUCAGUAUUCACUCAUUCAUUCUAUAUUUAUUUGUCCGAUAACUCUUGCCCUUCUAGAUGCUAAUAUGUCAUCUGUCACAAUUCCACAGCAAAAGUACUAUGGAAAAAGAUGGGUCUGCUUUAUUCACUGAAAAAUUAAAGAACACUUCAAAAAGGAACUGAUACUUGAGUUUAUUCAUUGUUCAUUCAAGAAAUAUACUUAUUGAGCACUUGCGACAUGCUAGUCACUGUCCUUUGUGCUUGCAACAAAUCAGUGAACCUUAAAAACAAAAACACAACAUACUCCUGUUCUUAUGAUGUAAUCUUGAGAGAUGGUGAUUGUUUCAUCAAACAGAAAAAAAAAAAAAAAGGAUGAGACGGUAUUCCAAGUAGAGAAAGCCACACUUGACUUUAUUUAUUUCACAAUAGUUAUCAAUUUAUUUGUGUGAUUCUCCCACUGGACUCUAAGUUCCUUAAGAAAGGAACUCUGGCUUGUACUGCUGUAUCUCUGAUGCCAAACAUUGUUCCAGACCCAUAAUAGGCACACAGUAAAUAUUUUUGAAUAACUAAUACUAUACUUCAUUCCCUAGAACAGAGUUUCUUGAUGUUGGCAUUAUUGGCAUUUGAGGCCAGAUAAUUAUUUGUUGUGGGUGUCUACCCUGUGCAUUGUAGAAUGUUUAGCUGCAUCACUGGAUGCUAGCAUGCAGCUAGAUGCCAGCAGUACCUCUCCUGCCUGUUAUCAAAACCAAAGAUGUUUCCAGGCAUUUUCAAAUGUCUGUGGGGUCCAGAAUCACCCCUAUCUGUAGAGAAUCACUGUCCUAGCACUGUGAAAUUAAGUGAAAACUAUGGAACAAUUCCAGUGAAUAUAAUGUGGAAAUCGGGAAGAGUAGAAUGAGACUUUCUUUUCAGUUACUUUGAGUCUUUUAUUAGAGGCAUUGUAUUUUAUUUUUUGUCCAAGCACUCUUAAUUCUAUACUGUUUGUUGAUUCAAUUCCUAUACUGACUACCGUGCUUGUGAGAGAUGGGGACAUCACAUGUAAAGAUGAGCGAUGUCUGCAUUUAACCCACCUUGCUGGUCACAUCCCUAGUGGUACUGCAACUUUGUUUUGUUUUCAAAAGAAAGGAGGAAAGACUUUAAGAUGUUGCUUUUAUCAAAUAAAUAAGCUAGUGUUUUUUCAAGAAAUUUUAGACACACUCUAAGACAAAACUCCUAAUGCAGUUUUUUAAUACCUUUUAUAAUGUAGGAUUUUUUAAUACCUAAUAUUUCAUCUUGAAUUGCAAUCCCCAGAUGUUGAGGGAGAGACCUGGUGGGAAGUGACUGCGGUUUUCCCCCUGCUGCUCUCGUGAAGGUCAGUGAAUUCUCGCGAGAUCUGAUGGUUUUAUAAAUGGAAGUUUUUCCUGCCGCUGACACAUGCAUUUCCCUGCUGCUAUGUGAAAUGUGCGUCUUCUCCUUCCGCCAUGAUUGUAAGUUUCCUGAGGCCUCCUCAGCCAUGCGGAACUGUGAGUCAGUUAAACCUCGUUUCUUUAUAAGUUACUCAGUCUCGAGAUGUCUUUAUAGCAGUGUGAGAAUGGACUAAUACAAUAGCUAAAUAAUGCCUUAGAAAUCAAUAUUUAAUUCUUAGUUUUUGAAACUUUACCGCGUAACUUUUUCAUGGAUGCACUAAUCAUGUCUGAUCUCCGUUUUCUCUUCAUUUUGUAAUCUGAAAUGAUUCACAUAUAAAAGAUGCAUAUAUUGUAUAUAUAUCUAUAUGUCAGUGAAAUAAUAAAAUGAAUACCCAUGUAUCCAGAGCCCAGCUUACCAACAUUUGGUAUUGCUUGGCUAUUUUAAUUUUUGCCAUUUUGAAGUGUGUAUAAAGAUAUUUCAUUUAAAAAUUUUUAUUUUCUUUAUUACUGUUGAAAUUGAACAUCUUUCAGUAUACUUUAUCUAUUUAUAUUUUCUCUCUGAAAGCUCUGUUCACAUUUAUUGCACAUUUAAAAAUUUUUUGUGUCUUAAAAAUGAGUAAGAAUUACUUAUAUCUGUAUAUUCUAGUACUAAUCUUCAGGGUUUCAAGUGUGUAUUUGUGUGUCACAAAUAUACUAUUAGAGAUUGUGUCUUCUAUUUUCACUUUCUUUGUGGUAUCUAUUAAUAAAGUUCCUGAUUUUAAUGUAAUCAAACACAUCAAUGUUUGUCAUUUUAAACAAUUAUUGAGAUUUAAAGGAAGGCUUCUUGCCCCAGGGUCAUGAAAAUAUGUUUAUAUUUUUUCUUACAGUGCUUUUGCUCUUACACUUAAGUCUUUAAUCUCAUCUGGCAUUGAUUUUGUACAUGGUGUGAGGUUUAACUUUUUUCCAUUGGCCUACUACUAGCUCAGUGAGGCCUACCCUAAUUACCCAGGGUAAAAUCAUAACUUCUUCACCCACCCUGGGACAUCCCCCUUUACCCUGCUUUAAUUGUCUCUCGAGCACUUCUUGCCACCUGUCACAUUCAUGUUCUAUGUUUCUUGUCCCAGUACCAUUUAUUUGAGUUGCCCCCUCCUUUCCAUACUGACCCCCUUUCCCACCUCAGUCAAACAUCAAGUAUAGAUGCUGUUAUCUGGACUCUGUAUUCUGGCUCAUGAUCCAAAUAUUUCAUUGUUUAUCUCUGUGUAAUCACCACAUUGUCUUAAUAACUGCACUGCUAUAAUGGUCUUAAUAUUAUAGGGCUAGUCCACCACCUCAUUCUGCAGAAGUGACUUGGUUAUUUGUGAUUGUUUAAACUUCUAUCAAAUAUUGGAAAUAGUGUUUCUAGUUCCCUGACAAACCCUGCUAAAAAAUUUUUACUGAAACUCCAUUAAAUCAACUUGGUGACAAUUGUCACAUUUAAUAUAUUCAACCUCCAGCACAGUGAAAAUGGUACCUUUCCCUAAUUAAUUAGGUCUUUUUAAAAAAAUUAUUUAAGCAAAGCUUUAGAAGUUUCUUCAUGAAAGUCUUGUAACUUUUUGUUAGAGUUAUUCAUAGAUUACUUUUAAUAUUUACAUGUGGUAAAUAUUUAUUUUUAAACUAUAUUACCUAUUUGUUGCUAGUGUAUGGAAAUACAAAGGAUUUCUAAUGUUAUAAAAAUAGUAUUAUUAACUAAGUUAUUAAUUCUAAUAAUUAGCCAGAAGAUUCUUUUGAAUUUUGUAUGAGGACAUAACAAUGCAUUCAAGUAAUGAUAAUUUUGUUUCUUACUUUCCAUCUCUAGUAUUGUUUAUUUUCUUCCAUCCUUAGAGUUUGAUCUAAUAAGUUCAGUACCUUAUUGGACAGAAAUGUUGAUGGUGAGCAUCUCAAUCUUGUUCAUGCCAUAUCCUGCAAGUCUUCAUGCAAGUGUCGUCUUCUUAGUGAGGCCUAACCUAUCCCCCAUUUAAAAUUGCAAAUUCCCAAACAUUCUGGGCCUUCCUAGUCCUCUUUAACUGUUUUAUAUUUCUCUGUAGCGAUAUUACCAUCUGACAUAGUCAUAUUUUAUGUGCUGGUUUAUUAUUUAUCUACCACCAUCAUGAGGCAUGGACUGACUUUCUACCUAAGUUAUUUUGAGCAAAUAACUGAAUGAAUAAUGUAUUUUAUACCUUAUACUGCCAAAUUAUUGUUACACAUAGUUUUUCCAUUGAUUCUCUAUGGAUUUCCAAAUGUGCUAUCCUGUCAUCUGUAAAUAAAUAAUGUAAGUUGUUCCUUUCCAAUUUUUAUGUCAUUAAUUGUUACCGCUUAUCUAAGAACAUUGAGUAAUUAGUGCCAUCAACAUAAUGUUAAUGAUUAUAGAGAUAGUGGCCAUCAUUACUCCUGACCUUACUAAGAAUUACUGUGUUUUACUACUAAAUAAAAAUCUGGCUUUACUUUGAAGUAAGCAAACAUUUUCCUCUAAUUCAGAUUCUUUAAACAAAAGUUGCAAAUGAAUGUAGCCUUCAUCUAUUGUAAAAUUAAAGAAGUUAAGAUUGCCACCUGGAAACUUUGGGCUCCUCUUACCUUUAAGGCAACAGGCUAAGAAAGGAGUUACAGUGUUAUCUGGGGUGAUUGACCAGGACUGUGAAGAUGAAAUCAGUCUACUACUCCACAACGGAUAGAGGAAUUCAGAAUUCAGCGGGGGUACAUUCUCAGCUGAGCUGGUGCCGUCACAUACCUAGUUGUAUGAAGAGUCUGAAAGAGGCGAGAAGAGGAGGCACUAGAAGGUCAAAGAAGGCAAAGAUAGUGGGACCAAGACUGCAGGAAAAACUAUGUGCCCUGGAGGACAUUGAGGUAAAGGUGAGGAAUAGAAUGAUUUUGAACAAAUCAAAGGGAAGAAAAUCGUUUUAAAAGUCUGAAAAGAGAUAAUUUGGGAGUUAAGGUACUGGUAGAACUCCUGUCUCUGAAGAUGUUAGUUCAGUAGGCUUAUGAUGGGCUCAGAGUUUAAUCCCUGGGGGACUUUGAUGAAGCAUUUCAUGGACAAAUGUUUGAGGGCCAGCAGCCAAGUAUAAAGGGUUACAGGUUACACAGGGCCAGUGUUGGUUCAUUUUGAGACGGUACUACAAAAGAUAAUGAACACCAGAGAUGGAGAUGGUCAAGGGGUUACCGCCAGUCUGUUUCUUGCGCUGAUAAUUUUUCUAGACAUUAAAUCUCACCAUUUGUUCCCAACAAAGAAAGAAAGACAGGACCACCAGACUCUACAGGGAAGCCAAGAGGAAGAAGGGAAGGAGCCCAGAAAUGGAGAGAAGCUGGACUCUAGGGAUGGAUCUGGGGAUGCUCCACAAAGUGCAGCUGUGGAGAAUGCAGAAGAAGAGUUGGCUAGUGGGACAUUCCCACUGAGGAGCAUGGCAGGGGGAAUGUCUAAUAUUCACUAAGAGAAUUCUUGAAAUGUAACAUUUAGAUGAAACUCUUCAAGUUUCCUUAAAAUACAAAUUCAUGACUCUCUUUCUUUCUCUCUCUCUCUUUCUCUCUCUCUUUGGUAUGUUAAAGUAAUCAAGGAAAGGGAUUUUGUUUUAUAACUGGGUUACACAGGGGAGAGACCAGAAUAGCUGAAAGCUGUGAGACAUGAAGAAAAUUCAAGAUUUAGGAGACAUGCAGAACAUCAGUGUCUAGGCAAAAUGGCAGACUGACCAACCCCCACACACUGAAUCCCUAGAGAUAUUAGGACAGGGAUAUUGAGAAAAAUUUACCUUUAAGUUGUAAAGGACAAGGCAACUCAACAUAUUGAAUGCCUUGUUGACAACCAGGGGCUAAUAUUUGGGAUGCAUAUUGGGCAUAGAUGCACAGAAAAUAAUUUAUCAGUGACAUUAAUAAUAUGACAUCUCUUUGUUGAGAAUUUACUGCUGUCUUAAUAUCACAACUCUAAGGGGUCAACAUCCAGAAUAAACUUCUUAUCUUACAUAUUUAAAAUUAUUUGCUAGGCUACAUUUUUCUUAGAAAAAUGCAUAUCUGAAACAGAAUAUUGAUUUUUUUCCUGGGUCAUACAUAAAGACCAUCAGAAAUUAAUUAUUGAAAAAACACUGCUAUACUCAUUAGAGAUAUAUUUUAAUUAGAUUAAUUUUGCAUUAACAGUCCAUGAGAAGUUACAACUAACUUGCAACGAGACAUUAACAUGCAUCAUGUUUGAUAUAAGUAAAAAUGGAAAUGAUUAGAAGUAUACAAAUAUAAAGUAUGUUGCUAGUAUAUGCAAGCUUAAAAAACUUUUACCUGAUAGAAUUAGCAAGAGCAGCUAUGUUGAGCUUCUUUCAGUUAAAAGUCAUUUUCGGCUAUGUCUCCCUAAGGAUAGAAAUAUCACUGCUUUUGAUCUCAUUUAGAAUUCUGCUCACUUUUAGGAAAGUAGGGCUGUUUGGAAAUGGUCAGCCAUAUCCUUACUGAAUUUCCUAGGGCUUGACUGCACCUACUCUAGUUAACAAGUAAGAUAUAGUUAUAUAUUGUAUUAUAACUUCUCAAAGCACUUAUAUUUUGAUUUUCCUUCUUUUAUGUUCAUUAUCUUCAUUUGGACUACUCCAUGUGACAAAAGCAGUUAUUUUUCUUCUACCCCCUAAACUGGACCACAUCGAUGCUCUUAGGUCCAAAUCAUAUUCUUUAAGAAACAAGUGUUCACUGAAUGAUUUACUGCAUUAUAUAAUAGGUACUAUACAAGACACCUGAGGCCCCCCACACCGUGAAAACAGAUGUUUCUUCCUGGAGCUUGCCCAAUAGGAGAGAAAUUUUUAAUUUACCCUUUCUCAGUAAACCAUUAUACAAAACAGAAGUGAAAUUAUGGACCCAGUGAACUCAAUCUGGCUGACUUGCAACCCCUAUGUGUUCAUAAACCCACUGAAAUAUAUAAUUUGUUGUUUAUAUUAAAUAUGCACUGAAGCAUGAUUAGAUAAACAUUGAAAGUAAAUUUUAAUUUUAACCAUCAGUGGAAGUAUAUGGGGUGAUUUAAGUCAUUCAUAUUAGUUUAUUUUUAUCAGGUGUUCCUCCUUGUCCAUAGUGAAAUACAAUACAGAGAUUAUAGCCUGUGGCUUGACAGGACAUCUUAUAGUUGGUAACAGGACUACAUUAAAAGGAAAAAACAAUAAAUAAGGAUGUCUAAUUAUACAGAUAAAGAAAGCAAGUUCACUCACUCCUCCAGGACAGCACCAGAGACAACGUUAGAACCAAGAGUUUCAAAACCUCGCCUUGUAUGGUUUGCCUGAUGCCAUGAUUAAAGAAAAGGGGGUGGGGAACUAAGAGAGGAAGCCAAAGAGAAAGAAUUCAGUACCAAACAGCAAUAUUCAGAUGUUUUAUUAAAUAAUAGGAGGUGUUUUGACCUUGCUGGUGAACAGAGGUGAUCUCAAAACAUUUGACAGAUAUAAUUAAGGCCAUAAGGCAAUAAUUGCAAAAGUCAAGGAGCCCUUGCCACCUCCAAAGCAUCACGUGUGGAUGCAGGAACCAUAUUAACAACAUGGGUAGUCAAGGAGAAAGCAGAUAGAAUAAAGCUGUACCCAGCAAUAUAAAGGGACAUGCAAGUGUGUGUUGUGCUUAAGAGUAAACUUAGGGAAAAAAGCUCCCCAUAACCUCGAGAAACGUUUCUGGAUCUGAGAUAUCCAUUAGCACAUUUAGAAGGUACCUAUUUCCAUUAUUGUGAAGGAGUUGUAAAUGAAAUAAACAACUUUAAAUAAUACCUCCCUUGGUCAAACUGCAUUAAGUAUUCCCUGAUGGAAUUCAUUCAUCAUCAUUCAAACAGAAUGGUUUGCAACUCAACCUGCCUAGUGUGGGGUCUGGAAUUCCCACCACAGUCACUGUGCCUUAAGCACUGUUGCAGCAGAAGGACUUGAAGUAACACAUGAAUAUAUAAUGCCAAUUUGCAUGUCAGCAUGGAUUGUUGAAAUUGAAGUUAGUUAAUUGUCACAUUGUAACAGGAAAAGAAUCCAAGUUUUGGAGCUGGUUGGAACUGAGUUUUCAUCUUCUUUCUCUGCUACUUAACUGUGUUAUCCUGAACAAGAUACUCAACCUCCAUGAGACACAGUGACCAUGUGAAAUAUAUAUGUAAAAUGUCUGGCAAACAUCUGAUUCAUGUAGGUACCCAAAAUUAGAUCAUUUUCAUUUUCUUUUGCUUCCUUGGAAGUUCAAAACAAAAUUCUGAGGUAAGUUUCAAUUAAAAUGGGUCAGGCAGACAGAUUCCAGCAAGGUCAAAGCAUCCUUUUUUCUUUAAUAAAAUAUCUGAAUAUCUGAACAAGAAACAACUUCUGUUUCUCAAGGUUGAAAUGAUGAAUUAUUGAACUUCUGUUGCUGUUUGUUUUCUCUCUUAUCUCCUUACUACUACAUAUAAAUGAGAUAUCUUGCUAUCCCACUGAUAUCUCAAAUUCAGUAUUUCCCAAAUAAAACGUAAUCUUUUGGUGAUCUGACACUAACAACUUAACAACCAUUCUACUGAGUCAACAAAUUUCUCCUCUGUGUACAGACUUCAACCGAAGAAUCUAAUACUACUGUGAAGUGCUGCUGGGCAGGACACACGUUCAGGAGACACAGUAGGGGAACAGAUGAGGCCAGAGUGGCCCACAGCCGGGGUGAAGAGCCCCCAAUUAUUUAUAAAGUGUUUGCUGCCUCAUUUAUGAAAAUAAAUAGUGCAAAGCUGUUACAAGU
rnacentral:lncRNA from 1 species